CGCAUCUCAGUUGGCAGAGCAUUGGGCUAGUAUUCCAAAGGUCGUAGGUUCGAUUCCCACCGUGG